rnacentral:rRNA from 1 species
ACGGAGGAUGCGAGCGUUAUCCGGAUUUAUUGGGUUUAAAGGGUGCGUAGGUGGACUGUUUAGUCAGUGGUGAAAUGCUGAUGCUCAACGUUAGCAUUGCCGUUGAAACUGACAGUCUUGAGAGUGAUUGAGGCAGGCGGAAUGUGUGGUGUAGGGGAAAAAUGAAUAAAUCUCACGAAGAACCACAAUGGCGAAGGCAUCUUCCAAAGCCACAACUGACACUGAAGCACGAAAGCGUGGGGAUCAAACAG